UGGGUAUCAACAUUCACAGGCUUCCUAAAC
rnacentral:piRNA from 1 species